rnacentral:rRNA from 1 species
UCCGGUUGAUCCCGCCGGACCUGACUGCUAUCGGAUUGAUACUAAGCCAUGCGAGUCAUUGUAGCAAUACAAGGCAGACGGCUCAGUAACGCGUAGUCAACCUAACCUAUGGACGGGAAUAACCUCGGGAAACUGAGAAUAAUGCCCGAUAGAACACCAUGCCUGGAAUGGUUUGUGUUCCAAAUGAUUUAUCGCCGUAGGAUGGGACUGCGGCCUAUCAGUUUGUUGGUGAGGUAAUGGCCCACCAAGACUAUUACAGGUACGGGCUCUGAGAGGAGUGGCCCGGAGAUGGGUACUGAGACACGGACCCAGGCCCUAUGGGGCGCAGCAGGCGAGAAAACUUUGCAAUGUGCGAAAGCACGACAAGGUUAAUCCGAGUGGUUUCUGCUAAAGGAACCUUUUGUCGGUCCUAGAAACACUGAUGAAUAAGGGGUGGGCAAGUUCUGGUGUCAGCCGCCGCGGUAAAACCAGCACCUCAAGUGGUCAGGAUGAUUAUUGGGCCUAAAGCAUCCGUAGCCUGCUUUGUUAGUUUUCGGUUAAAUCUGUACGCUCAACGUACAGGCUGCCGGGAAUACUGCAAAGCUAGGGAGUGGGAGAGGUAGACGGUACUCGGUAGGAAGGGGUAAAAUCCUUUGAUCUAUUGAUGACCACCUGUGGCGAAGGCGGUCUACCAGAACACGUCCGACGGUGAGGGAUGAAAGCUGGGGGAGCAAACCGGAUUAGAUACCCGGGUAGUCCCAGCUGUAAACCAUGCAAACUCAGUGAUGCAUUGGCUUGUGGCCAAUGCAGUGCUGCAGAGAAGCCGUUAAGUUUGCCGCCUGGGAAGUACGUACGCAAGUAUGAAACUUAAAGGAAUUGGCGGGGGAGCACCACAAGGGGUGAAGCCUGCGGUUCAAUUGGAUUCAACGCCGGGAA